GACGGACGCUGGCGGCGUGCUUAACACAUGCAAGUCGAACGGUAAGGCCCUUCGGGGUACACGAGUGGCGAACGGGUGAGUAACACGUGGGUGAUCUGCCCUGCACUUCGGGAUAAGCCUGGGAAACUGGGUCUAAUACCGGAUAGGACUCCGGACUGCAUGGUCUGGGGUGGAAAGCUUUUGCGGUGUGGGAUGGGCCCGCGGCCUAUCAGCUUGUUGGUGGGGUGAUGGCCUACCAAGGCGACGACGGGUAGCCGGCCUGAGAGGGUGACCGGCCGCACUGGGACUGAGAUACGGCCCAGACUCCUACGGGAGGCAGCAGUGGGGAAUAUUGCACAAUGGGUGCAAGCCUGAUGCAGCGACGCCGCGUGAGGGAUGACGGCCUUCGGGUUGUAAACCUCUUUCAGCAUCGACGAAGCGAAAGUGACGGUAGGUGCAGAAGAAGGACCGGCCAACUACGUGCCAGCCGCCGCCGUAA
rnacentral:rRNA from 1 species